UACGAAGGGUGCAAGCGUUACUCGGAAUUACUGGGCGUAAAGCGUGCGUAGGCGGUCUGUUAAGUCCGUUGUGAAAGCCCUGGGCUCAACCUGGGGACUGCGCUGGAGACGGGUGUGCUCGAGGGUGGAAGAGGCUCGCGGAAUUCCCAGUGUAGAGGUGAAAUUCGUAGAUAUUGGGAAGAACACCGGUGGCGAAGGCGGCGAGCUGGUCCAUCACUGACGCUGAGGCGCGACAGCGUGGGGAGCAAACCGG
rnacentral:rRNA from 1 species